CUGUAUGAACAUUCCAUAAUCGAACAGAUUCAUCUUUGCUUGCAGAGAUCACAAGUGAUGGCUUCAGUGGCUGAGUCCUGAUUUCAUUUAUUGAAUCACCAUGACCAACAAAACUCUUAUAUAUCUUUUCACUGCCGGCAUCAAUAACACGGAUUAUACCAUUGAUUCCACCAGCAACAACAAAUGGGGAGCCAUCGACAUUGUAUGCCCAGCUUACAGUGUAAAAAGACUCAUCGGGGGCUAG
rnacentral:misc_RNA from 1 species